rnacentral:tRNA from 1 species
GAGUAUAUAGCUCAAGUGGUAGAGUGCAUGCCUAAUAUGCAUGGGGUCCUGGGUUCAAUCCUCAGUAUGGCCU